rnacentral:tRNA from 1 species
UUUUCCAGUGAUUUAAGAUGAUACCGGGGAAGGUUUUCCGGUUUAUCCCGGAGGGCUUGUAGCUCAGUUGGUUAGAGCGCGCGCUUGAUAAGCGUGAGGUCGGAGGUUCAAGUCCUCCCAGGCCCACCAAUUUAUGCUCGUUUUUUGCUUAUCCAAGAGUAUGAAGCUUAAGCGUAUUAAAGCCUCUUUUAAUCUUUGUUUAUUUUAAAGAUUUAAUUUUAUCAUUCAAAGAUUGUUUGUUAAAUUUAUUCUAUUAAGUUUGUCAAAGGGGGAGUUUGUCAAAGGAGGUUUUUAAAUCCCUUCAUUUUGAAAUUCCUUCAAGGUAUAGAGAAAUUUAAAUGAUGUAUAGAGAAAUUUAAAUGAUGCAAAUCAAAAUAGUACAAAUCAAAGUCGUAUAAAUGAUUCAAGUUGAUAAAUUUUCUUGAGGUUGAUUUGAGAGAGCAUUCUUUAGGGGCCGUAGCUCAGCUGGGAGAGCACCUGCUUUGCAAGCAGGGGG